rnacentral:rRNA from 1 species
GACGAACGCUGGCGGCGUGCUUAACACAUGCAAGUCGAACGGAAAGGCCCUGCUUUUGUGGGGUGCUCGAGUGGCGAACGGGUGAGUAACACGUGAGUAACCUGCCCUUGACUUUGGGAUAACUUCAGGAAACUAGGGCUAAUACCGGAUAGGAGCUCCUGCUGCAUGGUGGGGGUUGGAAAGUUUCGGCGGUUGGGGAUGGACUCGCGGCUUAUCAGCUUGUUGGUGGGGUAGUGGCUUACCAAGGCUUUGACGGGUAGCCGGCCUGAGAGGGUGACCGGCCACAUUGGGACUGAGAUACGGCCCAGACUCCUACGGGAGGCAGCAGUGGGGAAUAUUGCACAAUGGGCGGAAGCCUGAUGCAGCAACGCCGCGUGCGGGAUGACGGCCUUCGGGUUGUAAACCGCUUUCGCCUGUGACGAAGCGUGAGUGACGGUAAUGGGUAAAGAAGCACCGGCUAACUACGUGCCAGCAGCCGCGGUGAUACGUAGGGUGCGAGCGUUGUCCGGAUUUAUUGGGCGUAAAGGGCUCGUAGGUGGUUGAUCACGUCGGAAGUGUAAUCUUGGGGCUUAACCCUGAGCGUGCUUUCGAUACGGGUUGACUUGAGGAAGGUAGGGGAGAAUGGAAUUCCUGGUGGAGCGGUGGAAUGCGCAGAUAUCAGGAGGAACACCAGUGGCGAAGGCGGUUCUCUGGGCCUUUCCUGACGCUGAGGAGCGAAAGCGUGGGGAGCGAACAGGCUUAGAUACCCUGGUAGUCCACGCUGUAAACGGUGGGUACUAGGUGUGGGGUCCAUUCCACGGGUUCCGUGCCGUAGCUAACGCUUUAAGUACCCCGCCUGGGGAGUACGGCCGCAAGGCUAAAACUCAAAGGAAUUGACGGGGCCCCGCACAAGCGGCGGAGCAUGCGGAUUAAUUCGAUGCAACGCGUAGAACCUUACCUGGGUUUGACAUGGAUCGGGAGUGCUCAGAGAUGGGUGUGCCUCUUUUGGGGUCGGUUCACAGGUGGUGCAUGGCUGUCGUCAGCUCGUGUCGUGAGAUGUUGGGUUAAGUCCCGCAACGAGCGCAACCCUUGUUCACUGUUGCCAGCACGUUAUGGUGGGGACUCAGUGGAGACCGCCGGGGUCAACUCGGAGGAAGGUGGGGAUGACGUCAAGUCAUCAUGCCCCUUAUGUCCAGGGCUUCACGCAUGCUACAAUGGCUGGUACAGAGAGUGGCGAGCCUGUGAGGGUGAGCGAAUCUCGGAAAGCCGGUCUCAGUUCGGAUUGGGGUCUGCAACACGACCUCAUGAAGUCGGAGUCGCUAGUAAUCGCAGAUCAGCAACGCUGCGGUGAAUACGUUCCCGGGGCU